rnacentral:misc_RNA from 1 species
GUAAUGCGAUAAUUAAUGUGAAUUGCAGAAUUCAGUGAAUCAUCGAGUCUUUGAACGCACAUUGCGCCCCCUGGUAUUCCGGGGGGCAUGCCUGUCCGAGCGUCAUUGCUGCCCUCAAGCACGGCUUGUGUGUUGGGCUUCCGUCCCUGGCAACGGGGACGGGCCCAAAAGGCAGUGGCGGCACCAUGUCUGGUCCUCGAGCGUAUGGGGCUUUGUCACCCGCUCCCGUAGGUCCAGCUGGCAGCUAGCCUCGCAACCAAUCUUUUUAACCAGGUUGACCUCGGAUCAGGUAGGGAUACCCGCUGAACUUAAGC